CUGGAGAUGAAUUGUGUUUUAUUCAGACGGUAUAUUUCAAAGCUCAAACCAAAGAACGAGUUCCAUUAUUAGUGCACCCUCGACGGACUUGGGGUGACAUCUUGUUAUUCUACGUUUCCUUUUUUUUUUCUUUUUCUUAUUAUGUCACCCUGACGGAGGUUAUUAUUAUUUUUCUUCCACUAUUUUUGUCCGGGGCAGUUCUGUGAAUUAAAUGGACAAAAGUUGAUGGUACUAUGCUAUAAUGUUGACCACUAUCUGACAUUAUAAUGGUCAAGAUGGCUGCCGUUGCCAUGGAAACGGGGAAAAUAUGAAAAUUUAAAUAAAAUUCAAAAUGCUCCAAUCUUUCUAAAACUUUACAAAAAUAUUAAAUGGCAUGUGUAAAUGUGCUCUUUGACUUUUUUUAAAAAAUGACUGCCGAUGCCCUGACAAUUGAGGAAGGGUGCCAUCCGUUAUUGCUGGCAAAUACAAAUCUAGUUAUUGUUCUUAUCAUAGUUAAUACUUCGAGUCAAUACGUUACGAUUAUCAUUGUUAUUAUUAUUAACAUUACAUUAGAUCACGAAAUAUUAAAGGAACUUUAUCACAGAUUUUGGUAAAAUGUUGCAUGCAACUUUAGCUCGUUG
rnacentral:lncRNA from 1 species